rnacentral:rRNA from 1 species
GUGCAUAGCCUUGUGCUGGGUACUGACAGUCCUCUUCUGGAUGUACUUCGGACUGUACUACUUCCUCGACAAGUUCGCCGAUGACACGUGCGCGGCCCUCGAGGAGUACCAGCUGAACCCCAAGAACAGCAUGCUGGGCGCCAUCAUACCCUGCAGCGAGAAGAUGUCCGGCAGCGUCAUCCUGCACGAUGUUGGUGCAGGCAUACACGACAUCAUAGACCAGGUACUCCAAAAGUAACGAAAGAAAAGGAGACGGUGCCAUCGAUGAUUUUCUUGACAGAUGCCAUCUUGUGUCUGUCAUGCUUAUCAUUCUUCUUGCAGUUUUUGCCAUAGUUGCAUCGGCAAUUGCGCUUCAGGGUGCUGUGUGCUUUCAUUCUAGAGCAGAGUCCAUCAAAGAUAUCGUCGGGAGAACAGCGCUUGAAGCGACGGCGACGAUUUACAACAUUACAGGAGCCAUUGAGAGGAUGCAGAACAUAUCGAAGCUAUACAACAUUAGUAGCCAAUCCUUUGAUCAUCUGAACUCCACAGUAAAGGCACUGAACUCUGAAGCUGUGGAAAUUCAGGCGAAGGCCGAAAAGAACAUGCGCUU